GACGAACGCUGGCGGCGUGCUUAACACAUGCAAGUCGAACGGAAAGGCCCUGCUUUUGUGGGGUGCUCGAGUGGCGAACGGGUGAGUAACACGUGAGUAACCUACCCUUGACUUUGGGAUAACUUCAGGAAACUGGGGCUAAUACCGGAUAGGAGCUCCUGCUGCAUGGUGGGGGUUGGAAAGUUUCGGCGGUUGGGGAUGGACUCGCGGCUUAUCAGCUUGUUGGUGGGGUAGUGGCUUACCAAGGCUUUGACGGGUAGCCGGCCUGAGAGGGUGACCGGCCACAUUGGGACUGAGAUACGGCCCAGACUCCCACGGGAGGCAGCAGUGGGGAAUAUUGCACAAUGGGCGGAAGCCUGAUGCAGCAACGCCGCGUGCGGGAUGACGGCCUUCGGGUUGUAAACCGCUUUCGCCUGUGACGAAGCGUGAGUGACGGUAAUGGGUAAAGAAGCACCGGCUAACUACGUG
rnacentral:rRNA from 1 species